GCCGGGCGUGGUGGCGUGUGCCUAUAGUCCCAGCUACUCGGGAGGCUGAGGGGGGAGGCUCUCUUGAGUCCAGGAGCUCUGGGCUGUAGUGCGCUAUGCCGAUCGGGUAUCCGAACUAAGUUCAGCAUCAACAUGGUAACCUUCUGGGAGCAGGGGACCACCAGGUUGCCUAAGGAGGGGUAAACCGGCCCAGGUCGGAAACGGAACAGUUCAAAACUCCCGUGCUGAUCAGUAGUGGGAUUGCACCUGUGAAUAGCCACUGCACUCCAGCCUGGGCAACAUAGUGAGACCUCGUCUCU
rnacentral:SRP_RNA from 1 species